rnacentral:sRNA from 1 species
UAGCGAGGAGAUCAGGCGCUUUUGGAAGCUGAGGAAGGAGAUUGUUGAGCACGUGAAGGCAGACGUUCUGGGAAAUCAGCUCUUACCGAGGGAAUUACCUCCAAAUCUCAAGGCGGCCUUGAACAGUGAGGAAGAACUGCCAAAGCCAAGACGGGUUUUCAGGACAAGGGUCCUUAGGAAACAGGCUCUGCAGAGGCUACAUGAGAGAAAAACUCGAAUCAUGGGUGUGAUAGGGCGUGCACCUACACAUAUGGGAGAAGGAAGACAGCCUCCUCCAGGAGCAUCUUACCCAACCUCUUGUCACCAUACCAAAUGGCGAUCCGAGCAAAAAGACUGGAAGAGAGCCGAGCGGCGGCGCUCCAAGAGCUCCGGGAGAAGCAGGCUCUGAUGGAGCAGCAGAGACGGUGGCAUCAAAGAUUCCCUCUGCUACAGAUCUGGUAGAUAACGGGAAAGUACCACUGAAUCCACCUGGAAAAAUGAAACCAAGCAAAGAGAAAUCGCCACGAUCAAGUAAAGAAAUGAGGUUGGUAACUGCGA